CAGGAAAAUGCUCUGAACCUAAAGCAAUUUUUCCUGGCCGAGACGGUUGCUUUCUGGAAGUGUUGAUAAUGAUGUGUGGCUCUGACGAGUGACAGCUUUUGAAGCACGUGGGUCUCCCCAGGAAGGCAGUGCAACUGCCUUGCAAGGGCUGGCCGCAGCAGGGCUUGUAGAAGUGACGUGGCCAAAGUCAUGGGGGAGCUGCUGGCAGGGCCGGGAGCAGGGUCAACGCUCCAGACUCGCCUCUCCCCUCUUCUCCCAAGGACCUAAAGCUGCCUCAGGGCUCUGCAGGCUGGGAAAAGGGGAAGAACAGCAUCUAAUAAAGUCUGUUCCUGGGCAUGAAAAUAUUUUAACAGGCCUGCUGCUGCAUCUAAAGAAUAAAGUUAAAAGCUGCUAACAGGGCUUUUCUCCAAGGGGAGUUGCAUUGCUGGCAUUUGGGAGCUACCCAAGAUAAACUAUCAGCCAGAAACACACUUCUCCGAGGCCCUCCUGAACCUCCGCGUGCGGCAGCCCGACUGCUGGGGCAGCUAUGGGAAAAUGGGAGUCUCCAAAGUGGCUGUUCUCUCCGUGGCCAGUGAAGGAGAGCCCUUCUCGAGCAAAGGAAUUUCUCCUGCAAGGCAGGUGCCCCUGGAAAUAGCGGGUGGCCAGGCUGCACGGGUUCAGCAUGGGUGAAAAUUUAUUAGG
rnacentral:lncRNA from 1 species